rnacentral:lncRNA from 1 species
CCGUAGCCACUGCCAUAAUUUGAUUGCCCUUCAGGACCUCCAUUGACUGAGCCACCAAAUCCACCGCCUUGUGAAGGAUCACUCCAAGCACUUGCAUAACCAGAGUUGCCACUCCCACUCCCAUACCCUGCACCAUAUCCAGAUGCUCCACCGGUAGCAGGAUUGCCAGCACCAUCACUACGCGCUCCAUAAGCCCCGUAUCCUCCAUGACUAGCAUAUGAUGCAUCCCCUCCAUAUCCACCAUACCCAUAGCCCUGGCUCCCAUAGCCUGCAGCUCCACCAGGUGCCUGACUUGUGGGAGCAUUGCCACCACCAGAAGAGUUGUUCCAAGCGCUAUAGCCAGCAUUGCCACCAUAGCCUCCAGCACCAUAAGCAGAUGGAGCUUGACUGCCCCAGGGUCCUCUAUUUGAGCCUGGAGGACCACCCUGGUAACCAGAUCCAGCCGCACUUGGGUUUCCAUAAGGU